rnacentral:lncRNA from 1 species
AGAGGACGGGGAUCGACGGCCGGGCUCGGACCCCAUGAUAAAUGUUUUCGGGGGGUGGGACCCGAGACUCGAGCCCGUGUCCUCCGGGGUGGAAGGCUGAAGCGUUUCCGUGUGGCCAGUCCGGCCGACUGAUAACAAAUAUUUCAAAAACAUUUUGAUAAAAUUAAUAGUGGAAAUAAUUGAAUAUGGUUUAUCGAAAAUUAUCUUUUAUUUAGUAUAAUAAGAAUGAUAACAUGAAAGGAUGUAGAAUUGAACUAAACUACUUCAUUAAUAGUGUUUUAAUAUUAAAUAAUGCACUAAAUACAGUGCAUUACACCUUUUAGAUAAGGAAGACAAUCUAGAGACUAUGGUCCGAUUACAGGAAUGCGGUUUACAACUGCUGCCGGGGCUUAUGCCUCAAAUUUUACAAAAUUAAAUAACAGAAACGAAGUUUACUUUUCGCCGCCGUCUAAACAUCCUGUGAAAAGCAAGUAUUUUAAGCUGUGAUUUAGGUAUCGCCAUAUUCUUUUCUAAUCUUCGGCGAAAAGUGUAUCAUGCGUAGUUUAUUCUACAAACGGAAGAGAAGUCGCUAGUUUUUUGCUGCUUCAUUAUAAAAGAAUGGAUAUUUUACAAAUUAUCCAUGUUUGCAACUUUAUGAGUAGACAUUAUUAGAGAAGCGAAAAGUAGAUAUUAAGAGUUAUGUCAUUGAAAUAUGAGCGAAAUCCAUUAGAAAUUUCUUUCGAUGACGAAUUUCAUAGUAGUAACAGAUCUUUUUAUGAAGGAUUUCACGUUAAUACAAUUGCAUGCACUACAACACCCAGCAAAAACUGGUUCCAAUCAAUAAUGGGAGUCGAGUCGCAAAAUAUUCUUAAUGAAUUAGGGGUCACAGAUCAGAGAACGAGAUAUGAUAUAUGAAGCUGAACGAGAUACGAGAUGUAGAACUAAACGUGAUAUACGAGAUACAGAGGCUGAAAGUUUCACAGUGUAUAAUAAAGUUUGACACUGUGCUUCACCUCGCUACGAUGCACAGUACUGCGUCCUGUUCCCGUGGUUAUGCUAUCUAAAGGCGUGUAUAUCUUGUUAAGAUAGGUGUCAAAUGUCAAAUAUUAACAACAUAUACACGCCUCUAGGUAGCAUAGCAAAAGAGAAAGAGAUAAACCUGUGAAAUUUGACUGCAUAUAUAAAAAUAAAUAAUAAAUGAAAAAUUCUUAUUAGUAAGAACAUGGUUUAGAAAAAAUUUUAGUUAUAAAGUUUAAAAUACAUUCGAAUGAAUUUUUUUCUACAUUUAAUUUCAGAAGUAC